GGCCGGGCCCUGUGCAACAGAAUCCUGUGAACCCCGCCAGGUCCGGAAGGAAGCAACGGUAAGCAGGCUAGUUUGUGUGCCGCAGGAUCACCUGGCCCCA
rnacentral:SRP_RNA from 1 species